UUAAGAUCCAUCCUCCCUCUUUUGCCAUCGUUCCGCUCGGUUAUGCAAUGCACAGCCCUGCCUCGGUGUCUAACCGGCGUUGAGGACCCACCGUAGUACGUGAGGCUCCAUCGUCUGGCUCGGUGGCCGCCCCUGUCGUGUCGUGAUCGAUCUGCGGAAUGUUUGAGCUUUUUAUCCUUCUCUGGAAUAUUUCCAAUCAGAGCUGGCUACUUCAGAAACCUGUGCGUUUUUAGCUGGAAGACUGGAGGCUUGGUGGCACAGAGACAACAGCUGACACACCUACACAACAGCCAGACAAUGAUACGUCGCUCCAGGUCGGAUGAGUCCGGCGUGAGCGAGAGACUUUAUUGAAAAGCGCUAAUUGUGCCGUUUCCCAGAGGAAUACGAAGCGAGAAAGAUGUAAGAUACAGAAAACACUAUGAGGAGGGUGUUAGGAGAGUUGGGGAGAAGAGUUCACACAAACCAGUGAUAGAAACCCCGAUGGAGGGGAUGGAAACAAAGGUGCGGAGAGAGCGGAGGGCUUGUCUUCAUCGCCUAAAUAAAGCCUAUUGUGACUGAAGACUAGGAAGGGUCUGGCUGUAUUCAAAUUUCAGGGGACACUGGUGUGAUAAAACUGGAUGUGAGACAAAGGUCUCCAAACUGUAGAAUGCACUCUAAUCCAAAAAGCAUGGUGGAAGACAAUGCAUUGCACCAGAACCACCCUUAGGAUACAAGUCACCUUAAAGGGCUAGGCAAGUCAUAGGAUCAUGGGCACGACAGUUAUCACCCUUGAUGAUGUGCGAGCACUGGAACUGAAGGAGGAGCAAGAGGAAUCCAUUUUGGCAAUGUUAGGCAUUGUUGGCACAUUCCUCAACCUAUUUGUAAUCGUUUUUGUGUACAUCUACACUACGAUAUAGCUAGUGUCAUAACAAUUCACAGGAGGCGAGGAGCAUUAAGUCCAAUCAAAAAACUUGUGGAAAAAGUUUGACAUGAACCUUAUCAUGAGUAAGAGGUUGGAGGGACUUUCUGAAGACAUGGGAAACACGUCAACAUGUCACGAGUUCGAAAGAUAGCAAAGGGUCGGGCAAAACAUCAUGCAACAUCAAGUAGGCAUGAGUGGAACCAUGAUGGACACUUGGAAGAGCUCAACCAGGACUAACCAGCAAAACUAAAAACUGGCCCUUCACCGCAUUUUCCCCCACUGAUGAUAUCAUGACAUAUCCACGUCAUAUUUUGUCAUUUACUUGAAAUAUAUCAUUUACAAAGACAAAAUACAAGCCAAUUACGAUGACAAUGUCGGGGGAUUUCUCGGUAGAUUAAUUGUAACCUCAGGCAAGUCAGGAAAGCUUUUUACAAUAAAGACUAUGACCUAAAAUAACAGAAAUGUUUCCCAAUCAAAAUUGCAUUGAUUUAAAAGCCAUUAAAAUAUUCACCAAGAUAUUUGGUUUAAAAAAGCAUCAGAAAAUAAACCAGUUUAAAGUGAUUUACGAUUGCCCGGCUCGCUCCCUAAAUGUCUCACAAGCCCACAGCCACAAAAAGCACAACGGGAAGAGCACCCGUGCCUUCAACUGGCUAACUCACAAUUUCCAGGCAACAAUAUAUCCACAUUCAAUUCAUGUAAUUAAUCAGCCCCACGUUGCUCCUGGUGCUGCGUCACCAGUAGGUAGAUGAGGAUAUAGUGUGAAGCGCUUUGAGGGCCUUAAAAAGGUGGAAAUGCGCAAUACAAGUGGAACUCCAUUUACUAUUACCAUUUAACCAAUCAGAGGACGGGCUGAAUACUAGUGCAGGAGAGAGAGAGGCACGGCUGCGUCUAAUCCGAAAUAACCCAGUUUUAAAUAGAUUUUUUCAUAUUGGCCAGUCAGAUUUUCAAAAACGCCAAUAGCGAUACACUUAAAAUUUCCAAAUAUCUGAUAAUCUCUAUCUCUAGUGUACAUCCCUAGAAUAUACCUCCAGAAUUUCCUUGUGCUCAGCUCACGGAUCACAGAGGAGUACAAAUUCAAAUUCUGCAACUAAUCUAAUCAAUGAGCUUUCAGGGAAAAAAAACAUGGCGAUCAAUACGUAGUUGUACUGUACAGUCCCUGACAAAGUCUUGUCACUUAAGGACAUAGUGACCUAGAAGGGCAUAUAACUUAAUUUAUCAUCAUUUCAUUCUUACAAUAAAAGGUUAAUUUUAAUAUCUAGGGCCUUCAUAUUGAUAACUCGGUGGAAAAUGAAACCCAGCUAAAAGUAUCAGGAAAUUAUUGCUGCUCAUUACAUUCCAAACCACAAGAGGGCAAAUUCUGAAGCAGGAGGGUACUUCCUCUCAUACUUCAGCCUCCACAUCAAAGUUCCUAAAGGCGACGAAGGUUAAGGUGCUCUAGGACUGGCCAGCCCAGUCACCAGACAUGAACAUUAUUCAUGUAUUAAUGUCUGGAGUCCUGCAAGACUGUUUUCUUUGCCAUUCCAAGCCACUUCAUUAAUAACUUGAGUCAUUGCCAAGACGAACACAUGCAGUCCUCUAAGAUUUUGACAACACAGAAAGUGUUUAUUUUUAACCGAAGUUUUAAAUUAGGGCUGUCAAAAGUAUCGCGUUAACGGGCGAUAAUUAUUUUUUUAAAUGAAUCACGUGAAAAUAUUUGACGCAAUUAACGCACAUGCCCCGCUCAAACAGAUUAAAAUGAGUCAUUAAAAUGGCUCAUUUGCACUUGUUACUUGUGUUUUUUUGGAGUUUUGUUGCCCUCUGCUGGCGCUUGGGUGCGACUGAUUUUAUGGGUUCAGCACCAUGAGAAUUGUGUAAUUAUUGACAUCAACCAUGGCGAGCUACUAGUUUAUUUUUUGAUUGAAAAUUGUACAAAUUUUAUUAAAACGAAAACAUUAAGAGGGGUUUUAAUAUAAAAUUUCUAUGACUUGUACUAACAUUUAUCUUUUAAGUCUUUCUAUCCAUGGAUCACUUCAACAGAAUGUUAAAGUUAAUGCCAUCUUGUUGAUUUAUUGUUAUAAUAAACAAAUAAAGUACUUAUGUACAGUAUGUUGAAUGUAUAUAUCCGUCUUGUGUCUUAUCUUUCCAUUCCAACAAUAAUUUACAGAAAAAUAUGGCAUAUUUUAUAGAUGGUUUGAAUUGCGAUUAAUUACGAUUAAUAAUUUUAAAGCUGUGAUUAACUCGAUUAAAAAUUUUAACCGUUUGACAGCCCUAUUUUAAAUACGUUACUGUCCCAUCAUGCCACCUUCAUAUUGUGAAUUAUUUUUGUCUUGGCUUAAAUGCUUUAUUGAGCAGGUCGAAUCCAAUUCACUCACACUUAGACGCUCAUACUGCCGAUGGCGUUCCUAGCCUACAUGGGUGGCCUGGGCGACAAGACGCCUUGGGCCCCCUGCUCCGCUUAAAUAAAACACAAUCACAAAAAAAACAAAAAACAAAACAAAAAACAAAACAAAACAAAAAAAAACGGUUGACCCACAAAAUACAGCAGAUGAAGUAUACCUAGCACAAUCCAACAACCAAAACACAGUAUUUGUUAAGAAUGUUGCAUUUAUUAACGCUAACGUGCAGGUGUGCAUACAUGUAACCACAUACAGAAUCGUAUCUGGUGAUUAACAUACAUAAAGUCAACAUUCACAGACAUCUUAAUGUGCUUAGCUUAUUAAACAUUAAACCAUAUCAGUUUUAGGGCUGUCCCAAACGACUAAUUUUCUCCCGAUUAGUCAGCCGAUUAUUUUUACGAUUAGUCGACUAAUCUAAUAAUUAUUUUUUUAUUUUUUAAUUUUUUAAACUAAUUUAGCAAUGAAAUUUUUGUUGACGCUUAUCAAUUAAAAAAAAAACAUAUUGGAACACUCAAAUCAUUUAUUAAAGUACAAAUAAACACGUAAAUAACAAUAAUAAAUCACAAAUAAACAAUGAGUUCAAAUGCUGAUAGAAUUAACUAGUGUAGCAUCCCAAUUGAAAAGAUGGUCUCUUAAACUGAUGGUUUACAACUUUUAUUCCAUCCUUGAUGUAAACACACCGUAAGAGCUACGGCGCACACAAAUAAAGCAACACAAUUAGAAAUUAACAAAAACUUUUCACAUUUUUCCUUUUAAACCUUAUUUAUAUAUCAAUGAAUUGCCUAUAUGAAUUGCCUUUACCUUAUUACCUUAUCAUUGACAAUCUCUCCCUUGAGUGCAAUCACUGUAUAUACUGUAUAUAUUUAUGACCUUUUAACCUUAUAUAAUUUUCUAUACCAUAAAAUAAACCAUAACAUGAAAUAAACCUUUCAAUUAGCAUUAAGAACAAUACUAAUAGCACUUAUAGGCCCAUUGUCAAUGAAACAUUAUUAUUUAGUAAGGCGACAGCACCCUCUGGUGUACAAAAAAUGAAAGGAAAAAAAAAAAAAAACCUUACAAACUGCGUGAAGGCGCUUGAGGUGUUUAUUCACGGCCGACGUGCAGCUAAGCUUUGCACUGAAGAGACAGGACAGAAGAGUGUACUCUCCUUUGUUUCUUUGAAAUAAGUCAAUGUUUUGGACACUCUGGUGCGCUUUUUUUUGGCUUUGUGCCGCUUUCCCUGCUUGCAAACAGAGCAUCCGACAUUCUAACUUUCCACGCAUAUAUUUUUUUAACCCUUCAUUUACCGUCGACGGCAUGUUGUGCUCGUUGACGGAUUUACGUCAUCGAUGACGUCGACUACGUCGACUAGUCGGGACAGCUCUAAUCAGUUUAACUAUAAACCAACUAUAGUGAACAUUUGCCACCAUCUCCCUUCAAACCACGACACUCACAUGAAUUAUUUUGAUACAAUACUUAAAGUCAUAGCCGAUAAAAAAACAAGCUAACAACUACGAAAUUAUGAGUGUCAGUGAUUUUAAAAAACUGACACAAAAACAAAUUUAACACAACUAUUCCUUCAAUUAGCUUUGUGAGGAAUGUACAGUAUGUGCAGCGCCUUUUACUUCACGGUGCAAGGAGCAGACGCAUGAACCGGGAAAUGCAGAACUGGAAAUAAAAACACGAGCGGUUUCAGAAAAUAACUGCAUGCAGAAGGAAGCUGCAGGAGUAAUCAUUGCAACGCUAAGGGCGCCAAUUAUAAUAGUAGACAAUCACUCACGUGCAUGCACCCUUUGCAAUUUGCCGCCCCGGGCGACCCUGCUGGGAACUGCCCUGUGCCUCUCACUUACACAAUGAGUUGCCACAGCACACUAUCGCUAGUGUGUAAAAAGCUAAACAAUGAUUGAGACAUCUGCUACCAAGCUUCUCUGGCAAGAUCAAAGCUACAAACCUGUCAAUCGUUGUUAACUUUAACUAGCAAACUCCAGUGCACUGCUGACCAAGAAAUGCAGCAAAUUAUAAACUCCAUUUCACCCGAUUCCGAUCCUCUGAAAAAAUGGUGCGAUCAGCCAGAUUUCCGAUCAUGUGAUCGGAUCGGGACAUCCAUAGUUCUGAUCUUAUUGUAGCAUAUUUGUGUUUUCAAACGAAAGUACAACAUCAAUUAUACUUUUUUUUUUUUUUUUUGUUUGUUUUUUGAGAAAAGACUUUUGCUCAUUCAAAAAGAGAUGUUCGGGCUUUACCAAGCCCAAACGUCACACCACUUUUUGACAGUUUCAUUCAUUAAUGUGAAGGCUCUUGACAUUAAAAUUGACCUUUGUAAGAAUGACAAUGACAAACCUUUGUCAGGGACUGUACAGUGCUGGCCAAAAGUAUUGGCACCCCUGUAAUUCUGUCAGAUGCUCAAUUUCUUCCAGAAACUGAGUGCAAUUACAAAUGCUUUGGUAGUAAUAUCUUCAUUUAUUUUGAUUGCAAUGGAUGGAAAAUGAAAAAAAAAAUAGAAAUCAUUACCAUUUUACACAAACCUCCAAAAAUGGGCCGGACAAAAGUAUUGGCACCCUUUGAAAAAUCAUGUGAUGUUUCUCUAAUUUGUGUAAUUAACAGUAGGGCUGCAGCUAUCGAAUAUUUGAGUAAUCGAGUAAUCGACUGAAAAUUCUAUCGAUUAAUCGAGUAAUCGGAUAAAACAAAUAUAUUUUUAGGUGAAGAGCAAUUAUAGAUAUACAUGAGAAAACAAGACAUUUUAUCAUUUUCAGUCAAUCAAUGUCUUUAUUUUUGAUGUAUAUUGUUAAAAACAGCCAACAAUUGCAUCUCAGAUGUAACUAGAAUUUUAAAAAAUGACUAAUUCACUGUUUUCACUCAAAAAACCUUUAGAUCUUAUUUUUAAAAAGUAUAUAUAUAUAUAUAUAUACACACACCUAAAAAUGCCUUUACGCUUGAUAACACACAUCACUUAAAAGUUAGGAUUUUUUCCCACGUUUUUCAAUUAAAUAUCUAUUUGUGUCAAGCCAUUUUUAAGUUCUAGUUAAGUUUUAAGUUAGUCUAAACUGUAAGUCCUGAUAGGAUUUUGAGUUUUUGCACUAUUCAAAAUAAAUGUAUGAUACAGGCUGUAUUGGAGCACAUUAGGGACUAGUGCUACUUGGUGUUUUACCCAGGAAGAUCCCACUUCUGACCCAAAGACAUAAAAAAAAGCCAGGCUGGAGUUUGCUAAAACUUGCCUGAAAAAGCCAAAAAUUGCUUUGCUAACUCUGUCACGGGACUGCCUGACCGUGUGCAUGGCAUUAUGAAGUCUGAAGACUACCAACAAAUUCUGCAGCAUAAUGUAGGGUCCAGUGUGAGAAAGCUCAGCGGUCAUGGGUCUUCCAGGACAAUGAACCAAAACACAGUUCAAAAGCAGUAGAAAGUGGUUUGAGAGAAAGCACUGGAGACUUCUGAAGUGGCCAGCAAUGAGUCCAGAGCUGAAUCCCAUAAAAUACAUGUGCAGAGAUCUGAAAAUGGCACCCUUCAAAUCUCAGACCUGGAGCAGUUGGCCAAAGAACAAUGGUCUAAAAUUCCAGCAGAGCAUUCAGCAUUGUAAGAAACUCAUUGAUGGAUACCGAAAGCGCUUGUUCGCAUUAUUUUGUCUAAAGGUUGUGCAACCAAGCAUUAGGCUAAGGGUGCCAAUACUUUUGUGUAAAAUGAUUUUUUUUUUUUUCCCAUUCUCUUUUGUGUUUUUUCAUUCCGAGCAAAAUAAAUGAAGAUAUUAUUACCAAAGCAUUUGUAAUUGUAAUCAUUUUCUUGAAGAAGUUGAGCAUUAUCUGAUAGAAUUGCAGGGGUGCCAAUACUUUUGGCAGGCACUGUAUAUACCCUAGAAUAUACCUACCAAAUUUCAAUCCGAUUCCCCCCUACACACACCACCAUCUCCCCGGGCAUUCUAAAAAUCAUGUAUUCAAUAGAACUCUUUGAUUGCCUUUUUAAUUCAAACAUGACCCACUACUAAAACACAUUCAAAUGUUUUUUAUUACUCAUUUAUUUCCAAGGUAUUUAAAUUAGUAAUAUAUAUUCCUAGGUAGUGAAAGAAUUGACAUUUUAAAGGGGUUAUUUUGAGAUUCAACAUGCAAACGUCAGUCCUUUUUUCAUUUUCUUUUUAAUCUAAGAGGUGUCCGUGCGAGUCACUUCACUGCAAGUGACCAAUGGCUCUGAUCCAACCAGUCACAGGAAUUUUCACUAGAGAAAAGUGAGUCAUUGAAAGGAGGAUGAGGAGCCAGAGUCCACUUACAGGUUCUGAUUAUCUUGAGCAGAGCAUCAGACAAAAUGUAUGGUCUGAUCAUAGCAAUGCUACAUACAGAUGCACAAGAAAAAACGUGAUUUGAAUUCGAGCCAUUCAAGGAUCUCAAUAAUGGAUCUCACAGUCAGCAUAGCUAUUGUGAUUAAAGUAGUUGGUGAAACCUAACCACAAGCUACUAAAAUAUAAAUAAUAAAACUGCCUGUCAGUCAGUAUGGGGGUGGCUUUUCACAACUAAGAAGCAAAAUGCAACUACAGUGGUACCUCUACAUACAAAUUAAUUUUGUGCAAAAGUUUGUAAGUCGAAAUGGUCGUAUGUCAAGCGGGAUUUUCCCCUAAGAAUUCAUGAUAAUUCGAUGAAUUCUUCUCAAGGCGACGAGUCCAUCUCCAAAGACCUGAAUGUUUCUGUGUAUACCGUGCGCAGUGUCAUCAAUAAAUGUAAGCUCCAUGGCACUGUGGCUAACCUCCCUAGAUGUGAACAGAAAAGAAAAAUUGAGGAAAGAUUUAAACAAAAGAUGGCGGAUAAAGAACCUUGACUAAAAUCCAAACAGGUUCAAGCAGUCCUGCAGUCCGAGGGUACAACAGUGUCAACCUGUACUAUCCGUCGGCAUCUGAAUGAAAGGGGACUCUAUGGUAGGAUACCCAGGAAGACCCCACUUCUGACCCAGUGACAUAAAAAAGCCAGGCUGGAGUUUGCCAAAACGUACCUGAGAAAGCCAAAAACAUUUUGGAAAAAGUUUUCUGGUCAGAUGAGAGAAAAGUAGGGCUUUUUGGGAAAAGGCAUCAACAUAAGAGUUUACAGGGGGAAAAAAGAGCCCUUCAAUGAAAAGAACAAGGUCCCCAACAGUCAAACAUGGCAGAGAGUCUCUAUGUGUUGGGGCUGCUUUGCUACCUCUGUCACUGGACUGCUUGGCCGUGUGCAUGGCAUAAUGAAGUCUGAAGACUACCAACAAAUUUUACAGCAUAAUGUAGGGCCCGGUGUGAGAAAGCUGGGUCUCCCUCAGAGGUCACGGUUCUUCCAGCAGGACAAUGACCCAAAACACACUUCGAAAAGCACUAGAAAAUCGUUUGAGAGAAAGCACUGGAGACUUCUAAAGUGGCUAGCAAUGAGUCCAGACCUGAAUGCUGUAGAACACAUGUGCAGAGAUCUGAAAAUGGCACCCUUCCAAUCUCAAAGACCUGGAGCAGUUGGCCAAAGAAGAAUGUUCUAAAAUUCCAGCAGAGCAUUGUAAGAAACUUUCCAGCAGAGCAUUGUAAGAAACUCAUUGAUGGAUCCCGGAAGCGGUUGUGCUACCAAGUAUUAGGCUGAGGGUGCCAAUACUUUUGUCCGGCCCAUUUUUGGAGUUUUGUGUAAAAUGAUAAUGGUUUUUUUUCAAUCUCUUUUGUGUUUUUUUCAUUGCAAGCAAAAUAAAUGAAGAUAAAACUACUAAAGCAAUAAUUGCAAUAAUUUUCUGGGAGAAAUUCAGAAUUAUCUGAGAGAAUUGCAGGGGUGCCAAUACUUUUGGCCAGCAGUGUAGGUUGUUUUGGCUAUUCAAUGAUUUAAGUAAAUAAGUAUACAGUAUAAAUAAGAGUGACCAAGGGAACACUUAGUAAAUGGAAUCUGAAAUUACAGUUCUUUGGUCGGGAAAAUGCAUAUGCAGCCACUCAUGUUUAUUUACGCUCUCCAUCCUCACGUGGAUACAUCAUGAACAUGACUUUUUAAGAACUGUGACCCUGCCUU